AAUCAACGCUGGCGGCGUGCCUCAGACAUGCAAGUCGAACGAUUAAAGCUCUCUUCGGAGAGUGUAUAGAGUGGCGCACGGGUGAGUAACACGUAAGUAAUCUACCCUCGAGUGGGGAAUAACAACCGGAAACGGUUGCUAAUACCGCAUAAUGCAGCGGCACCGCAAGGUGACAGUUGUUAAAGAUUUAUCGCUUGAGGAGGAGCUUGCGGCAGAUUAGCUAGUUGGUAGGGUAACGGCUUACCAAGGCUACGAUCUGUAACCGGUCUAAGAGGACGGUCGGUCACACUGACACUGAAUAACGGGUCAGACUCCUACGGGAGGCAGCAGUCGGGAAUUUGGGCAAUGGGCGAAAGCCUGACCCAGCAACGCCGCGUGAAGGAUGAAGUAUUUCGGUAUGUAAACUUCGAAAGAAUAGGAAGAAUUAAUGACGGUACUAUUUAUAAGGUCCGGCUAACUACGUG
rnacentral:rRNA from 1 species